CUACGGGUCGCACCAGUGGGGGAUAUUGCACAAUGGGCGAAAGCCUGAUGCAGCAACGCCGCGUGAAAGAUGACGGAUUUCGGUCUGUAAACUUCUAUCAGCAGGGAAGAAAAUGACGGUACCUGACUAAGAAGCCCCGGCUAACUACGUGCCAGCAGCCGCGGUAAUACGUAGGGGGCAAGCGUUAUCCGGAAUUACUGGGUGUAAAGGGUACGUAGGCGGCUGAUCAAGUCAGAUGUGAAAGCCCGGAGCUCAACUCCGGGAUUGCAUUUGAAACUGGUCGGCUAGAGUGCAGGAGAGGAAAGUGGAAUUCCUAGUGUAGCGGUGAAAUGCGUAGAUAUUAGGAAGAACACCAGUGGCGAAGGCGGCUUUCUGGACUGUAACUGACGCUGAGGUACGAAAGCGUGGGGAGCGAACAGGAUUAGAUACCCGAGUAGUC
rnacentral:rRNA from 1 species